rnacentral:rRNA from 1 species
UACGGAGGGAGCUAGCGUUAUUCAUCAUUACUGGGCGUAAAGGGCGCGUAGGCGGAAUGGCAAGUCGGUCGUGAAAUCCUUCGGCUCAACCGAAGAACGUCGAUCGAAACUGCCGUUCUUGAGGAUUGCAGAGGAGACUGGAAUUCCCGGUGUAGCGGUGAAAUGUGUAGAGAUCGGGAGGAACACCGGUGGCGAAGGCGGGUCUCUGGGCAAUUCCUGACGCUGAGGCGCGAAAGCGUGGGGAGCAAACGGG